UUCCGGUUGAUCCUGCCGGAGGCUACCGCUAUUGGAGUUCGAUUAAGCCAUGCGAGUCGAGAGUCUUAGGGACUCGGCGUACCGCUCAGUAACACGUGGGUAACCUGCCCUAUGCUGGGGAAUAACCUCGGGAAACUGAGAAUAAUGCCCCAUAGUCCACAAUGCCUGGAACGGUUUGUGGAUUAAAGCCCCGGCGGCAUAGGAUGGGCCUGCGGCGUAUCAGGUUGUAGGGGGUGUAACGUACCCUCUAGCCAUCAACGCGUACGGGUGUUGGGAGACAUAGCCCGGAGAUGGAUUCUGAGACACGAAUCCAGACCCUACGGGGUGCAGCAGGCGCGAAAACUUGGCAAUGCGAGAAAUCGUGACCAGGGAACUCCAAGUGGCUGGGGUAAGACCCAGUCUUUUCUUGACUCUUCAAAGGUCUUGGAAUAAGAGGUGGGUAAGGACGGUGCCAGCCGCCGCGGUAAUACCGGCGCCUCAAGUGGUAGUCGAUUUUAUUGGGCCUAAAACGUCCGUAGCCUGUUUGGUACAUUCGUGGGUAAAUCAACCAGCUUAACUGGUUGAAUUCUGCGAGCACGGCCAGACUUGGGACCGGGAGAGGUGUGGGGUACGCUCAGGGUAGGGGUAAAAUCCUGUCAUCCUGAGCGGACCACCUGUUGCGAAGGCG
rnacentral:rRNA from 1 species